UAAUCCAAUUUGCCACUCCAAGUCUUUUAGGUGGGGUGUUUAGGUUGUUUACAUUCAAGGUUAAUAUUGAGACAUGAGGCUUUAUUCCUAACAUGGUGUCAUUAGCUGGUUGCUCUGUAGUUUGGAUUGUGUAGUUGCUUUACAGGGUCUGUGGGCUAUGUGCUUAUGUGUAUUUUUGUGGUAGCAGGUGUCACCAUUCUUUCAUUUCCAUGUUUAGAACUCUCAAGACUCUCUUGUAGGGCCAGUCUGGUGAUAACAAAUUCUUUUAGCAGUUGCUUGUCUGGGAAAGAUUUUAUUUCUUCUUUGCUCAUGUAGCUUAGUUUGGCAGGAUAUGGAAUUCUUGGUUAGGAUUUUUCUUUUUUAUUUUUUUUCUUAAAGAGACUGGGUCUCACUAUGGUUUUUUGGUUUUUGUUUUUUUGUUUUGAGACAGAGUCUUGCUGUUGUUGCCCAGGCUGGAGUGCAAUGGUGCAAUCUCGGCUCACUGAAACCUCUGCCUCCUGGGUUCCAGCAAUACUCCUGCCUCAGCCUCCUGAGUAGCUGAGAUUAUAGGCACCUGCCACCACGCCCGGCUAAUUUUUGUAUUUUUAGUGGAGAUGGGGUUUCACCAUGUUGGCCAGGCUGGUCUGGAACUCCUGACCUCAGGUGAUCCACUCACCUCAGCCUCCCAAAGUGCUAGGAUUACAGGUGUGAGCCACCGCGCCUGGCCUGUUUUUUUGUUUGUUUUUGUUUUAAACAGGAUCUUGUUCUGUUGCCCAAGGUGGAAUACCGUGGUGAGAUGUCAGAUCACUGCAACCUCUGCCUCCCAGACUAAAGCGAUUCUCUUGCCUCAGCCUCCGGAGUGGCUGGGACUACAGGCGCACACCACCACACCCAGCUAGCUAAUUGUUGUAUUUUUUGUAGGAACAGGGUUUCAUCAUGUUGCCCAGACUGGUCUCAAACUCCUGAGUUCAAGCAAUCUGCCUACCUUGGCCUCCCAAAGUGCUGGGAUUACAGGUGUGAGCCGCCGUGCCCAGCCAGGAUUUCUUUUCUUUUCUUUAAGAAUGCUAAAAACAGUCCCCCAAUCUCUUCUGACUUGUAAAGUUUCUGCUGAGAAGUCUGCUGUUA
rnacentral:lncRNA from 1 species